rnacentral:rRNA from 1 species
UUAUUGGUAAACGAUGGGGAUGCGUUCCAUUAGGUAGUAGGCGGGGUAACGGCCCACCUAGCCGACGAUGGAUAGGGGUUCUGAGAGGAAGGUCCCCCACAUUGGAACUGAGACACGGUCCAAACUCCUACGGGAGGCAGCAGUGAGGAAUAUUGGUCAAUGGGCGAGAGCCUGAACCAGCCAAGUAGCGUGAAGGAUGAAGGUCCUACGGAUUGUAAACUUCUUUUAUACGGGAAUAAAGUAUCCUACGUGUAGGAUUUUGUAUGUACCGUAUGAAUAAGCAUCGGCUAACUCCGUGCCAGCAGCCGCGGUAAUACGGAGGAUGCAAGCGUUAUCCGGAUUUAUUGGGUUUAAAGGGAGCGCAGACGGGAGAUUAAGUCAGUUGUGAAAGUUUGCGGCUCAACCGUAAAAUUGCAGUUGAUACUGGUUUCCUUGAGUGCAGUUGAGGCAGGCGGAAUUCGUGGUGUAGCGGUGAAAUGCUUAGAUAUCACGAAGAACCCCGAUUGCGAAGGCAGCUUGCUAAACUGUAACUGACGUUCAUGCUCGAA